rnacentral:tRNA from 1 species
AGGCUCGUAGCUCAGUUGGUUAGAGCACCACCUUGACAUGGUGGGGGUCGGUGAUUCGAAUUCACUCGAGCCUACCA